AAAUGGAGAUCAGAGAGCUGAACCACCCAGAUUAUGGAAACUGGCCACCUUUCAUAUCCAUGAUAGCUCUUGAAUUGGGUUUUUCUCCUUCAAUACUUUUAUGGGUUUGGACAGAAUCAUAGUUAUUUGCAGAGGGAACUGAGAAGCGGAGGAGAAUGAGGAGAAAACCCAUUUUCGACUUCCCAUUGCAUCUCAA